rnacentral:rRNA from 1 species
GGAGUUAGCCGGUGCUUCUUCUGUGAGUGAUGUCCUUCCUGCCGGCUAUUAACCCGCAGGCCUUCUUCCUCACUGAAAGUGCUUUACAACCCGAAGGCCUUCUUCACACACGCGGCAUGGCUGGAUCAGGGUUGCCCCCAUUGUCCAAUAUUCCCCACUGCUGCCUCCCGUAGGAGUCUGGGCCGUGUCUCAAUCCCAGUGUGGCUGAUCAUCCUCUCAGACCAGCUACGGAUCGUCGCCUUGGUGAGCCGUUACCUCACCAACCAGCUAAUCCGACAUAGGCUCAUCCGAUAGCGAGAGGCCCGAAGGUCCCCCGCUUUCCCCCGUAGGGCGUAUGCGGUAUUAGCCUGGGUUUCCCCAGGUUAUCCCCCACUACCGGGCAGAUUCCUAUGCAUUACUCACCCGUCCGCCGCUCGCCAACAGGGAGCAAGCUCCCCGUGCUGCCGCUCGACUUGCAUGUGUUAGGCCUGCCGCCAGCGUUCAAUCUGAGCCAUGAUCAAACUCUGA